UGCGAGGGGAACGAACGUACGCACGUAGGGUUUUUGAGCUUCGAUGGAGUCGAGAUCGGGGCAUCGUAGCCUCCGUUCCUCCUCCCAGACUGAGGACCACAUCAGCGCCCUCCCCGACGACCUGCUCCUCCUGAUCCUCGCCCGCCUCCGAUGCAUCGCCACCGCCGUGCGCACCAGGGUCCUCUCCCGCCGCUGGAGCGGCAGCGGCGGCCUCUGGACCCGCCUCCACGAGAUCGUCUUCCGCGACGUUACCUUCCCCUCGCUCGAAGCGGCGCUCGGCCGCGUCAACGCUCCCGCGGUUUCCCUCCUGGAAAUCCGCGUCCCCUAUGUGCACCGGCCGGGCACCAAAACCCACGUCGGCAGCCUCGGUUUCAACUCGCUGCUGCGCGCUGCCGCGCGGCUCGCGCCGGAGGAGUUCGUCUUCCGCUUCCCGUCAGACUUAACCGAUCGUUCCCUCGUCGUCGACCUGCCUUGCUUCCCCCGCACCACCUCCAUCGUCCUGGUCAACUUUUUCCUCUUCCUCCGCGUGCCGGACGGCGUCGACUUCCCGGCGCUAGAGACGCUGUCUCUGUCGGGCAGGGUCCCCGAUCUCGACCCGUUGCUCUCCUGCUGCCCGCGCUUGCGGGCGCUCCGGCUGCGCAAUGUUAUCCAUGGGGGCGACCUGAGGGUCAGCUCGCUGUGGCUGCAGGAGCUCUUCGUCGCCCGCUUGUACCAAAGGAAGCACCGUAUCGACAUCGUCGCCCCCAUGCUCAAGCAAUUGAGCAUGUCCUUUGUCUCCUCGGGUGGCAGCAUCUCCGUCUUGGCACCAAUGGUGGAGAAGGUCUCAUGGGACUGCAGGUACCACGAUCCGUCUAUUGUGUCUAUUGUGUUUGGUCUUUGGAGGCUAGAGCGGGUGACACUACAGAUGGGAGAGAGACAAGGACAUGUCCCUACACUGAAGAUUUGUUCCCGCACCACCUCGCGUGUUUUAGGCAACGAAGAGCACACCUUUGCACAGGAGAUAGAGAAGCACAUGAUUGCUGGAUUUUCUGUUUUGGAACUACAUCUCACAACAAAUGGACAUGCUUUUGGAGCGCUCGUGUUUCAUCUCCUUAAGAUGGCUCGAAUUUGUGGUUCUAUACGCAGGCUUAAGGUCAUCCUAGAGAGAUCAACGAUGAAAGAAGAAUGCCCAUUUGAUUGUUUUUGUGAGCCUUGGAACUGGAGAUCUCAAACCAUCUCCUUGUCUGCUCUCGAGGAAGUGGAGGUCAACGGGUUUCAAGGAUACGGUCAGGAGAUUGAUUUCUUGAAACUGAUAUCCCAAUGUGCACCAAUGCUUAAAAAGACGACAAUGAUGUUGUCAGAGGAGACCACGGCAAGUAAUGAUGAAUGCGCAAAGAUAUAGAACAUCUUCAAGGCAUAUUCGUCUGUGCAUUACAAUGUUUACCACAACUCUGUUGCGAUGGUGACCGGAGCUUGCUUCAUUUUGUAUCUUCUGCAAGGUUAAUGCACGACAGCCAGAAUUGCUCGUCCACGUGAUACUCAUCCUUACAUAUGUGGAUUCAUGGUGCGCAUCAACAAGAACAUCCUUUCCCAUGCUGACCAACACUAUUAUCUCGUCUCAAGACUUUGCUUGGUUGCUUUGAUUGUCUAUCAUCUGAUGUGUUCUUUUGGUAGAGUAGCUUAGCUAUAUAUAAGGUGCUCUUAGUUACCCUUGAAUGGUUUCUUUCCAUUCAGUCAUUUAAGUUAAUGCACUCUACCUAUUCCAGUCAAUUACUGUAAGCUAGUAAUUAUGUUAAGCCUACUAUUUCAAUUUCUACUUGUGAUCCUUCAUUGUGCCGAUGGACUACAUGUUUUCACCGGAAGUAAACUGAGCAGCAGUGAAAGGU